GUUAAGGCUGCAUUGUCCCAUGCUAUUACUGGUAGCAUAGAUAUGCCACCUGCUCUCCAUUGUGAUUUCUGUUGUUUCGGUCUUCCAGCCCAUCAGUGCCUGCACAGGACUGUUUUGCAUACCUGUACUGGAGUAUUUCUGUGUGCCAAAAAAUGCUCAUGAGGGAUCUGAACCAGGAGAAAUAGCCUCAUGUAACAAUCUCUUAGCUGUUUUCAGAGCUGACUCCACCUUACCAUUGCUCUAUGGAUAGUUGCCAUAGCAACCAAGGAAUAUACUUCUUAACGCAGCUCAUUCAGAACCUGUUCAGAACUCUUUCAACUUUACCAUCCCUGCAAAUCGAUGGCUAGGAUCUCUCCGCUGUGUUUUUGAAGUCCUUUGGCCAGGAUCCAGAAUGUUACACGAGCUAUUGCCAUCCACUAGAUGAGGACACAUUUCGCUUGUUGAAGAUAACUACCAGUUGAUCAAAAUGGUUCAUCCCAAGGACUGAAAUGGGCUUCUGAUAGAUUGUUUGAAAAUUCCGAACUCCAAAGGAGAAGGGAGCAGAGGUAUUGGAACAGAGGUGACAUCUGAACAUUCUGAAGUUAUUUUGCAUCCUGGUAAUGGCCAGGCACACAGAAGCUCAGUGGACAUCUGGGGUUGGUGGAACAUGUAUUUGAAUGUAAACAAAGAUGAGUCAACUACCUUGAUAAUGCAGUGACCAGCUUGUUCAUCUGGAAAAUGUUUCAUCAUUGUUAGUUAGGUUCAUUAUAAGCCUGAAGUGAGUGAAGGACAACAUGACGCACCUGUUUUUAAGGGUCUGCUUCUGCUGAAGCCUGUGGCAGAGGUCCUAUUAAUUUCAGCGACAGCAUAAAAGGAGGAAGUUUGAAUAGAAAGAGAAGGAAAAUAUAAAAUCCAUUCCGUCUGUUGGUCUUUGCUCACAAAAUCUGUCCA